AAUGACAAAACGGGAAGAAACCCCACAGGGAAGCAGAGCUGCCUUCGUGGAUGUCGCGUAUUGUGUGCACACGCACAACAGCUGCAGGACGUGCGAACGACGCGAACAUCCCAUCCGCACGCACAGGGUGGGGAUAGGUCCUGCGCGUGUCUUAUCGUGCGCACGUAAUCCGUCCGCGUGUCACCUCAUGUGCGGACAAGCACUGCACAUUAUGCACGCGCCGUCCAUGCAGCAAGCCU
rnacentral:lncRNA from 1 species